rnacentral:rRNA from 1 species
UACGUGAGGCGGAGCAAAACACAAAACACAGUCUCAGUUCAGAUUGUAGGCUGAAACUCGCCUAUAUGAAGUCGGAAUUGCUAGUAAUCGCGGAUCAGCAUGCCGCGGUGAAUACGUUCCCGGGCCUUGUACACACCGCCCGUCACACCAUGAGAGUCGAUAACACCCGAAGCCUGUAGUCUAACAGCAAUGAGGACGCAGUCGAAGGUGGGAUUGAUAAUUAGGGUGAAGUCGUAACAAGGUAAC